UACGGAGGGUGCAAGCGUUAUCCGGAUUCACUGGGUUUAAAGGGAGCGCAGGCGGAUUGGUAAGUCAGUGGUGAAAGCCUUAAGCUUAACUUGGGAACUGCCAUUGAUACUAUCAGUCUUGAAUAUUGUUGAGGUUUGGGGAAUGGGUCAUGUAGCGGUGAAAUGCGUAGAUAUGACGCGGAACACCGAUUGCGAAGGCAGCAGGCUGGACAAAGAUUGACGCUGAGGCGCGAAAGCGUGGGGAUCAAACAGG
rnacentral:rRNA from 1 species